AGAGAGAGACAUGCGCGCAUAUCAAUAAGCGGAGGAAAAGAAACUAACAAGGAUUCCCUUAGUAACGGCGAGUGAAGCGGGAAGAGCUCAAAUUUGAAAUCUUCAAGGUUUUACCUUGACGAAUUGUAGUUUAAAGAAGUGUUUUCUGCUGAAGUUUUGGUAAAAGUUCUUUGGAAUAGGACAUCAUAGAGGGUGAGAAUCCCGUAUUUGACCAUUAUUUUCAGCUUUGUGAUACACUUUCAAAGAGUCGGAUUGUUUGGGAAUGCAGUCCAAAAUGGGUGGUAAAUUUCAUCUAAAGCUAAAUAUUGGCGAGAGGACCGAUAGCGAACAAGUACCGUGAGGGAAAGAUGAAAAGAACUUUGAAAAGAGAGUUAAACAGUACGUGAAAUUGUCAAAAGGGAAGCGUUUGACACCAGUGUUGUUUUCUCGAAAAUCAAUUAAAAAUGGCUCGAUUUUGUAUUGUUGAGACCUUAAAAGCUCACUGUACAUUUUUCGUGUCUUUUUUAAUGCACUUUUCGUUUAACAAGUCAACAUCAGUUUCUUUUGUUGUAAAAGGGUCAUUGGAAGGUGGCUUUCUUUUCGGAGAAAGUGUUUAUAGCCUUUGGCCUCUGCAAUCGGAAGAGACUGAGGUCUGCAGCGUAGACUCUUCGGGGUUAGAUACAUUUGUGCUAAGUUAUAGCUUUUUAUAGACAACUUGUUGACUAUAAUUAGUCUUGUAGCUUACUCGCUUAUGCUAUUUUACCUACGCUUAGGAUGUUGAAGUCAUCGUAUCGCGC
rnacentral:rRNA from 1 species